rnacentral:rRNA from 1 species
CCAAUAGCGUAUAUUAAAGUUGUUGCAGUUAAAAAGCUCGUAGUUGAGUUUCGGGGUCAGUAGGUUGGUCAUGCCUCCGGUAUGUACUGGUCUCACUGAUUCCUCCUUCCUGAUGAGCCGUAAUGCCAUUAAUUUGGUGUUGCGGGGAAUCUGGACUGUUACUUUGAAAAAAUUAGAGUGUUUAAAGCAAGCUAACGCUUGAAUACAUUAGCAUGGAAUAAUGGAAUAGGACGUUCGAUCCUAUUUUGUUGGUUUCUAGGAUUGACGUAAUGAUUAAUAGGGAUAGUUGGGGGCAUUAGUAUUCAAUUGUCAGAGGUGAAAUUCUUGGAUUUAUUGAAGACUAACUACUGCGAAAGCAUUUGCCAAGGAUGUUUUCAUUAAUCAAGAACGAAAGUUAGGGGAUCGAAGACGAUCAGAUACCGUCGUAGUCUUAACCAUAAACUAUGCCGACUAGGGAUCGGAUGAUGUUAAUUUUUUAAUGACUCAUUCGGCGCCUUACG